AUUCCUCAUUUAUGGGGAAAGAGUAGGGGGCUUAGAAGGAGGGUUUUGAAGCAACUUUUUCUUGGCAAAGAAUACACCAAAGAUGGAUCUAGAAUUUGAAGUCAAUUUAUACUAUUUUAUUGGAUUGUUGGAUCUAUAUCUUUGCAUAAAAAGUGUUAAUUGGGAGAUUUGAAUGAAGUUGAGAACAAAAAGGAUCAAAAGAUCAAGAAAACAUGGGUUUGGAAGAAUUGGAAGGGCUUAUUCUUUCAUGGCAACAAUGGUGAAGAGGGCCUAAGCUGCAAGAAAUAUGUAUCAAAAUUGUCCUUGGCCUAACACCUAAAAGAACACCCAAGGACGAUAGCAACAACCAAAUACUAACUGCUACUGCUGCUAAAGAAAGUACUGCUAUUUCUCUAAACUAUGUAUGUGAGCUGCUCCAAAUCUGUGACAACUUGGUUGAUUGCAUGAAUGACCAUCUUCUUUAUCUGUUACACCAGAGGACGAAUCAAGUCAGUAAGAAAUGGAGGCUAGGCUUAACGUAGCCAGAUUAAAAUAAAGCAUUUUUGAUAUGGCACCUCUAGUUUGUCUUCUCUGGCCUUGUGGCCUUUCGGCAAUGUCCUGAACUCAGCUGUGAGGCGGAAACAUUCUCGAAUGUUUUCAGGAGAAACAAAAUCAGCAGCAACUUUGGUACACGACUGGAAAGUUGAAAACAGUUGGUUGGUUACUUGAUGAACUUGAUCAUCUGGAUUUUCAUGGAUUAUAUAAGUAUGAUUCUUACCUUGAGAUUCCGCACUUGGUGAGGGCAUCCUGCAGGAAUGAAAACUGCCUCUCCAAGUCUUUGCUCGAAUGUCCAAGGUUCAAUCCCUAAAAUGUUUUCUCUUGUGCUCCAAAGUUAAGUAGAAGCUCUGGUCAUGGAUUGGAUGAAAAACCUGAUCAACCGGACAACAGAAAGUGUGCCUAAAUUCCUUUGCAUGCUUUAAAAGAUACUCAUUCAACUUGGAUACGUCUUCCCUUCUGAAAAUGUCCCACAAGGCACCUCCAGUUGUCUCUGAAUCAUCAGAGGUUUUCUCCUCCCUUCUAAUAUCACUAGACAUCUUCAUAGGAUAUUCAUCAGCCUCACAUUUGAGGUGCUCUCUUUCAUCUUGAGCUCUAUGCCUCUGUUUCACUAUUUCAAUUGCAGACUGCUGCUCAUCAGUUAUAGCCAUCUCUGCUGUGUGUGUCAAAAUAUUUAUCUGACCAAUUCAAAAUUUUAAAAUAUUAGCUUGUCAUGAAAUAAGCCUGAAAAAUUAAUGGUUGCAAUCUUAGCAGGUAAAUGCAUCAUGGACAGAAUACAGAACUGGGAAAAGCAAUAAACUGCUAUCAAGGACUGGCCAUGAGGUUUAUGAGUCUCACUAGACAACACAAGGCAGAAGAGACUGGAUGAAUGUGGUUCUAUAUGUUUGGAAUAAAAUGUUAGUUUUUCGCCCAUUUUGGAAUUUUCAUACAAUUGAGAUACUUUCUUACCAAGGUCCUUGUUGAUUUGGUUAUAGUUUUUGGAUGUGAGCUUAAGGUAAUAUCCUCCAAAUUGUGAUUUCAAGUAUUAACCAGGGCUAUUCACAAGCAACACAUAUAUUAAGGAGGUGGCAUUGACAUGAGAAUAAAGUGAAGAAAUCAAAUGAAUGAACUACAAUAGUCCCGUCGAAAUCAUACCGCA